rnacentral:lncRNA from 1 species
AAAUUCAACAUUCAACAUAUAUAUAGUAAUAAUGUCAUUGAAGUACAAUCAUUGAAAUCCAAAAUACAAAUCAAAACAUCAUCAUAAUUAAUACUAAUCCAUCCAAAAUACAAAUCAAAACAUCAUCAUCAUUAAUACUAAUUCAUUGUAACUUCACACAAACCUAGCUAGCUCCUAAGCUUUUUCAUCGGCAUCAUCAUAAUCUACCUCAAGAUUAUAUAGGUCAAGGAAACAAGUUGCCCAGCGGUUUCGCAAAUCAUACAGCUCCUCCUCUGUUGAUGUUGUGGGAUCAUUGAACACCUACAAUAUGUAAAUAUAUAAUUACUUAUACAUACAUGGCUCAAAUCCAUUACAUAUACAUUAUCAACUUAUUCAUAUAUAUAAUAAACAUACCAUGUCAGAGCAACCAUGAAUAACAUCUAAGCUACUCAUUUUAAAAUGCCUAAAUCUAUAAAAUAAGGUACUGUAACAUUCUAUCCAACAAAAAUCCCACUUACGCAUAAAUUUUCAACAACCAAAUUCAUCAUCAAUGUGUUGUUCUUCUUUAACAAUCAGUUUCAAUACAAGUAGCAAACUUAAACCAAGAUGUGAUACGGGACCUCGUUCAUCUACAACAUAAAAAGUAACCAAUUCAAGUCAUGCAUACUAUAUUUCAUAAAUUAGCAUACUUGUCAAUGGAAUAAUAGGCAAUAUAGUCUACUCUAUGCAUGGCCAAGUGUACCUACUUAUCAGAAUGCAGUAUCUUUCUGUUAUUACUGAAAACUUACCUUUAUAGAGUAU